UAAGUUCUGGCCAUCCCAAAGUAGAUGUACUGUGUUUAUGCUUGAUGAAAAAUUUCACUUGAUGUUAAAUUUUUGAGUAGUUUCACUGUCUAAAUCCAGAUAGGCAGCUGUUUUCUUUUAGCACAUAAAAGAAUGUUAUUCUGUUUCCUGGUGCCCAGUAUUUCUAAUAGCACACCAGUUCUUUGCCUCCUGCUCACUUGGAUAUGAUAACUCUUUUAUUUGGGGCAGGCUUUAGAACUCCUUUCCGUACUUGGCAUUUUUGAAUGUACUUAAUUCAGCUAUUUUUUUGGGCUUCUGCAGUCAUAACACUGACAUAUCAAUGCUUCUCAGUUCUCACAACUUUCUAGUUAUUAAGUCAAAGAACAGACUGCUUCAAAGUCAUUUUAAGGGAUGAGAAGAUAUGUGAGUUGGUAAAGUACUUGAUUGCUUUGCAAGCAUGAGGACCUGACUUUGCUCCCUACAGUUAUGUAAGAGAUCUGUGUUCCGAGGCACACACUUGUAAUCCCAGCACCAGGGGUAGAAGGUAGAGACAGGUAUUCUUGGGGCUCACUGCCCAGCCAAUUUAGACUUCCUGACAAUCCCCAGACCAAAGAGAGACCUUGUCUCAAACAACAAACAAACAAACAAACAAACAAACAAACAAACAAACGGAUGUGGGUGGCACCUGAGGAAUGACACUUGAGGUUGACUUGGACCUUCAUGUACACAGGUCCCAUAAGCAGGCAUACCCCUGUACAUGUAUCCUAACAUGCAAACGCGCACGCACACAAACGUGAAACUGACCAGUUUUUACAUUCAUGGGAAAUUGAGCAGGCAGUGCUGAGUUCCCUUAUAUUUCAGUGUUACUGAUCUGCAAGUAAGGUCUGGCUACAUUCUCCCCUCCCUUUCCUUCGGGAGUUCUCAUUACUGUAUCUUCUGGGGUUUUUUUGGCUCUAUUUUUUCUCUCCGUCUACACACCAUCCUUAAGAUCUUUCAUCACAUGGAAAUUCUAAAUUGAACAGGAGGCACUUUCGAGAUGUGCUUUCAUUCAGUAGUCCAGGCUGGCUGGAAACUUAGAUAUCCCAAGCUGGCUUUGAACUCAUUCUAGUCCUUUUAUGUCAGCCUCUAGAGUGGAGCACUUACAGGCACACACCACCACAAUCUGGCCUUGUGGUGGGUUUGAAGCCUAAGAGUUUAAUCAAAGUAUUCCCUUUACCUUUAAUGAUGGGACCAUCAAUCCAGACACUAAAAUUCAUGGCCUGAAGGUGUUUGAGGACCUCUCCUGAUGUGAACUCAACACUAUCAACAGUCUGCUAAGAGAUAAACAAGAUCUGGGGGUACUGGUUAGUUCAUAAUGCUCCACCUAUAGGGUUGCAGACCCCUUCAGGUCUUGGGUACUUUCUCUAGUUCCUACAUUGGGGACCCUGUUUGUUCCAUCCUAUAGAUGACUGUGAGAAUCCACUUCUGUAUUUGCUAGGCACUGGCAAAGCCUCACAGGAGACAGCUAUAUCAGGGUCUUUUCAGCAAAAAUCUUGCUUGCAUAUGCAGUAGUGUCUGUGUUUGGUGGCUGAUUAUGGGAUGAAAUCCCAGGUGGGGCAGUCUCUGGAUGGUCCAUCCUUUCAUCUUAGCUCCAAACUUUGUCUCUGCAACUCCUUCCAAGGAUAUUUUAUUCCCUAUUCCUGGGAGGAAUGAAGUAUCCACGCGUUGGUCUUCUUGAUUUUCUUGUGUUUUGGAAGUUGUAUCUUGGGUAUUCUAGGUUUCUGGGCUAAUAUCCACUUAUCAGUGACUGCAUAUCAUGUGACUUCUUUUGUGAUUGGGUUACCUCACUCAGGAUGAUAUCCUCCAGAUACAUCCAUCUGCCCGAGAAUUUCAUAAAUUUAUUGUUUUUAAUAGCUGAGUAGUAUUGUGUAAAUGUACCACAUUCAUUUUCUAUAUCCAUUCCUCUGUUGAGGGGCAUCUGGGUUCUUUCCAGCUUCUGGCUAUUACAAAUAAGGCUGCUAUGAACAUAAUGGAGCAUGUGUCCUUAUUACCAGUUGGAACACCUUCUGGGUAUAUGCUCAGGAGAUGUAUUGCUGGAUCAACUGGUAGUACUAUGUCCAGUUUUCUGAGGAACAGCCAGACUGAUUUCCAGAGUGGUUGUACCAGCUUGCAAUCCCACCAGCAAUGGAGGAGUGCUCCUCUUUCUCCACAUCCUUACCAGCAACUGCUAUCACCUGAAUUUUUUAUCUUAGCCAUUCUGAUUGUUGUGAGGUGGAAUCUCAGGGUUGUUUUGAUUUGCAUUUCCCUGAUGAUUAAGGAUGUUGAACAUUUUUUCAAGUGCUUCUCAGCCAUUCAGUAUUCCUCAGUUGAGAAUUCUUUGUUUAGCCCUGUACCCCAUUUUUAAUGGGGUUAUUUGAAUUUCUGGAGUUCAGCUUCUUGAGCUCUUUGUAUAUAUUGGAUAUUAUUUCCCUAUCAGAUUUAGGAUUGGUAAAAAUCCUUUCCCAAUCUGUUGGUGGCCUUUUUGUCUUAUUGACAGUAUCUUUUGCCCUACAGAAAGUUUGCAAUUUUAUGAGGUCCCAUUUGUCGAUUCUUGAUCUUAAUGCACAGGCCAUUGCUGUUCUGUUUAGGAACAUUUCCCUUGUUCCCAUAUCUUCGAGGGUUUUCCCCACUUUCUCCUCUAUAAAUUUCAGUGUCUCUGGUUUUACGUGGAGUUCUUUGAUCCACUUAGACUCGAGCUUUGGUAGAGGGAUUCUUUACAGAAGUAACUGAUGCUUGUGAAUAGCAUCCCUUUUCCACCCUCACAUCCCUUUGGCCAAAAAUAUUUUGGACUUGGAAUUACCACUGUCUUCCUUUGUCCUAAUUUUCCCACUACUCAUUCGAAAGAAAAUGAAAAGAAAACUCUCUUUGUUUUUAGAGCAACACUUUUGGAACCGGAUUUACCAGAAUCCCAUGGUAUGUCUUCUUCCAUCUCUGACACUAUGGCUCAUGAGAGUGUCCCACAUUGCCAUUACUGUAAAAAUAGGAAACGUUCUACUGACUACAGCAUAUCCUCUGAAUCCUCCAACAACAGCUGGAUCCUGUCUUAUCUUCCAAUCUUUCCUGAAAGAACAACUUGGCAAAUCCAGGGCAAUAUUGUCCCCGAUUCCCCGGAAAAGGAAUUGCCCGAGUCCAGGAACUGAAGCACACCACUGCCUACCUUUCAGCUGACCCACACUGAGAAGUCAGAUCUUUUCCAGAAUUUUGCUGUCCUUCCUCCCUUACAAGCUCAUGGCUCUUUUAUUAGCUCUAAUUUACAAUCCCUAGAUCUGUUAGUCAGGAGAGAGCAGCACGGACAUAUGUCUCAGAAGGUUUCUACUCUGCAGAAACAAGUGGUACCUCUGCCUGUGAAGAAGUCAUGGAAAACACUCAAUCAUCUGAUGGAUGUACAAGGAGUUCCUGAACAAGAGAUCCCCCACACUCAGUUACCUACACCCAUCCCUCAGAGCACCAAGCCAAGUACCAACAGAUCUUCAGGUGUUCCAUCGAUUCAUCUACAUGUGAACAUCGGAGUCAAUUCUGAAGUAAAUAGGACAGAAGCCAGAAUGUCAUGGCCACUUACCUCCAACAAGCAGUUAGAAUCUGAGAAUGACCACCAAAUCAUUAGAUACUAUCCUUUGGUUAUAUCAAUGGACAGGCCAUCUUCCAGACAUGUAGAAGUUAAUGCAAUUCAGGAAGAAACCACUUUACAGAAAAAGGAUCCAAAGCAAGUGUUAGAGCUGAAUAUAGAACAGAGGGUCAUAGGUCUUCCAGAAGAAAGGAUGAAGUCACAUAAGGCACAAGGAACUCAUGCAAAGCUGACACCCAAGCCACCAUGUUCAGCCACAGACAGAAUAAAGGUCACUCCGAUGGCAUUGCUUCAGGUUAUGGAUUCAAUGGGAAUAAUCCCAGAUUCACAUUCAGAGGUAACCGACCCUGUGAGGAAAGCAAAAGAUAAGACUGACUUAUCACAGCCAUCAAAUGAAGCUCAAAAAGUGAGUGUACCUCCCAAGUCAUCAAAUCCAGUAAUUGAAUCCAUAAAUAUAGUAAAUCCUGAGCAUCAAACAAGGGAACCAAAGAUUACUAACCAAUCAGAAAUGAAUCUGCAUGAAUACACAGCAAACACCGAAUUGACAUUGCCUGAAGUUGAAGUCUAUGCAAAUAGAUACAGGACUAGAGUCACAAGAUGGAAGCCAGAGAGAUGACCCAAGCUUCUUUCUCAUCUUCAGCACCGCAUCUAUCACCACAGCAAGCUGGGCCCUCAAGCAUCCACCAGGUAGAUGUCUGCCUAAGUGCAAUGCUGGUCUCAUAUAACAGACAGGUGCAAGCCAAACUAAGUUAGAAGGGUAAGGAUGU